AAUAGUACUUAAUAGACAAAGUAAUGCCCGGUAUAUAGCAUAGCCGUUCUAAUAUUUCAAUCAUGUUGGCUAGUAAUGUUUACGCUCGGUGCUUAAUUUCAGCUUUGUUUUUGUUACAUAGUUGUUAUGCGUGGACGGAAACCGCAGCAGUUCAAAACUUGUUAAAAGAACGGAGCCGUGAUCUACUCAAUGAUUUAGCUCGAAAAGGAGAGGCCGUGUGGCCUUACAGAAGAGUCUAUUCUCAAUACUCAAGCUUCGCUAUAGGGGAGCGAAUCUUUGUCGUGCGGGCGAGAUUCGCAGCCAUGAUGAGAGCAUUUUUGCGUACUAUUGUCAAAAAGAGAACAGCUGACGUGGAAACACUGGUACGACACGCAUUAAUGAUACAAGGACGUUGUCAGAGCAUUUAGGUAUAUGCUCAAUGACGAGUUGCAAGAAUUUGAUGCACUAAUCAAUAGAGAAGCUAAUCCCUUGAACUGGACGAGGUUCGAGAAACACAACUGCCACGUAGCAGGACCGCCCUGCGAAAUCAUGCCCGUACCAAAAGGCUACUUUAGGCGGAGCGCUAUGAAGGAGGCCCUUCAAGAAAUCGAAACCAGAAGGAAAUUUAUCCGAGAAAAAUACAAACCGCAAAAGAAUAAACCCACAAUAAAUAUUAAAGCAGAACUGAAUCGAUCAUUCAGUAUGCACACAGACUCGACUUCACCAGGGUACCGACGACGUCAGCCCACGGAAGAGGACUUCCUUAACCUGGCGCCUGAUUUUAUGACGUGAACCUGAACGUCAAAUUUGAUUAAUUAAACAGUAUAAAAUAA